CUCCCAGCUAUAUUAUAGUGCACAUUGGGGGAAAUGAUAUAGGUAAUAUCAAACUAGGUUACUUACAUUUCCAGCUUGUUAAAUUUAUGUCAUGGUUAUCAAAUAAAUUGCCUGAAACGACUUUAAUUUGGUCGCAAGUAUUACCAAGAUUGCAGUGGAGGUAUUCAACCAAUGGGAACUGUAUGGAGAAGUGCAGACGUCGGUUAAACAGUUCCAUUGGUGUCCACAUGACAAAGCAUGGAGGCUGUUACAUUCGGUAUCCUGACAUAAAAGCUACACAUAAGUUCUUAGCAGAAGAUGGGGUGCAUUUAACUAAGAUUGGAAAUGAAAUUUUUCUGAAUAUAAUCCAGGGAGCACUAGAAACAAUUAUUUCUAGUAAGACGGGUGGCUUUACUUUUCCAGAC
rnacentral:lncRNA from 1 species